rnacentral:rRNA from 1 species
CAGUUCGGAUUGUAGGCUGCAACUCGCCUACAUGAAGUCGGAAUCGCUAGUAAUCGCGGAUCAGCAUGCCGCGGUGAAUACGUUCCCGGGCCUUGUACACACCGCCCGUCACACCAUGAGAGUUUGUAACACCCAAAGCCGGUGGGGUAACCUUUUGGAGCCAGCCGUCUAAGGUGGGACAGAUGAUUGGGGUGAAGUCGUAACAAGGUAGC